rnacentral:rRNA from 1 species
AUUGAACGCUGGCGGCAUGCCUUACACAUGCAAGUCGAACGGCAGCACGGGAGCAAUCCUGGUGGCGAGUGGCGAACGGGUGAGUAAUAUAUCGGAACGUGCCCAGUCGUGGGGAUAACGUAGCGAAAGCUACGCUAAUACCGCAUACGAUCUAUGGAUGAAAGCGGGGGAUCGCAAGACCUCGCGCGAUUGGAGCGGCCGAUAUCAGAUUAGGUAGUUGGUGAGGUAAAGGCUCGCCAAGCCGACGAUCUGUAGCUGGUCUGAGAGGACGACCAGCCACACUGGGACUGAGACACGGCCCAGACUCCUACGGGAGGCAGCAGUGGGGGAAUUUUGGACAAUGGGCGCAAGCCUGAUCCAGCAAUGCCGCGUGCAGGAUG